AAUUUUAAUAGUACUAAAAUUUUAGGAGAGAGAAAAAAGAGAUGGUUGGUUAAGUGAUAAUAUUUUAUAGCCCAUAGUAUGUUUGAUUUAAGCAACUUGAUUGGAGGAUCAUGAAACAGAAACUUAAUUAUGCCUAAGAUUACUCAAUAGGGCUCAUCAAUGGUAGAUUUUAGUGAUACUCAAUAAAGGUCAAGGUGAUGGGUCUAACAUGCUGCCUAAGUACCAGGAUUAUUUUGGGCCUCUUCAUUGGAUCUAACUUGGGUUCAUAGGAAAAGGGAGAUGGGACCUUCUACUAGGGUCCAUAGAUUUGCUAAAGAGAGAAAGAGCGACGGGAUAGAAAGAGAGAAGAGAGAACAAGAUAAGAGAAAGAGAGGAAAAGAAAGAAGAAGAGGAGUAGCAAUGGCUUUACAAUGAUCGUGGUGGAGUACCAAAUUAGAGUCUGAAUCCUAGCAGGCACCAUAGCAGUGAUGAUGGCCGAAUGAAGGGGAGAA
rnacentral:lncRNA from 1 species